ensembl:lncRNA
AUGCUCCAAUUGGAGCAGCUUGCUGGGAAUCACCAAGUGAGGCUGGCACCUAUGGGGCCUGGAGCUGCAACACUGGCACCGAUGUCUCUGGCUGGCCUUGCAGAUGGCACACUUCUCCUACUGUGCUGCCUGUGCCCCAGGUACCUCCAGUGGGAUGCCAGCAUGGCUCCUGCCUCCUCUGGCUGGCUCAGAGCCAGGAUGAUGGGUUUCCUGCUCUCCCUGAAGGCACUGAGGCUGGUGGGAGAGCUGGACCAGGCUGAGCGGUGGCUGCAAGACGUGGCUGGGUCACUCUUGGAACCAGCCACCAUGAGAAGCCCGGCGGAUCUGCGCCAGGAGCUGGAAGAGAUGAGCCGGCUGGAGAAGCAGCUCCUGCUCUGUGGCCUCAAGCUGCAGGCACUGCAGGAAGAAGCAGCAGGCGAGUCAUCCACUGAGCACGAGGGGGCAAGGAAGAUGCAGAGGAAAGUGGAGAUGGUGGAGGAGAAGUUGGCACAUGUGCAGGCAGCCCUACGGCACCGGGCAGCAGAUCUGCGGGACUCCCUGGUGCUGUCUGAGUUCCUGCAGGACCUGCAAGAGGAGGAGGCACGGAGCCAGCAGGGAUCGGCAGCGGCAGGGAUUGAGCGUUCUGGAUCGCAGGGGUGUUUUCCCAUGCUCUCAGCCCAGACUGAGAAGUCUCCAAGCAGUGAGGACAUGAGCCGCCCCUUGGGAGAGCUGCAGGAGGCCAUGGAGAUGCUGAAUGACGCAGCAAAGGAGCGGGAGAGGGUCAUGAAGGUGGCAGCAGAGACAGAGAGCCUGGAGCGUCUGGUGGUGAAGAUAUCCCCACAGCUGGAGGCCCUUCAGUGCAGAGCCAAGGCUCUGUCUCAAGACAUUGCCCUAGCAGAGAACAGCUUCACCACGGUGAAGAGUGAGAAGGACCUGCAAGGGCUGGAGGGCUUGCUAAGCUGCCAGCAGGAGAUGGAGCAUGCAGUGUCACAGACCCUGCAAGGGCAGCUGGAGGAGCUGGAGAGGGCAGCUGCCCGCUUGCAAGAGCUGUGCCCCGCUCGGCAGUGCCCCAUCAGCUGGGAGCUGCAGGAGACUCUGUGGGCCUGGGCAGAGCUGCGAGAGCUGCUGCAGGAGACCCGGCUCCGCGUGCAGCAGGCUAGCCAGCUUCGGCACUUCUUCAAGGAUUACUUAGCCAUGAUCUCCUGGACUGAGGACACACGGGCUCAGAUCUUCUCUGAAAGCCCAAGCAGCUCCAGUAUCCCGGGGACUCCAUGUGAGGAACUGGAGAGCAGAAUUGAAGAGAAACUCAAGGAGUUUGAGGCACUAGCAGCAGCAGGGCAGCAGCUGGUGUCUGAGGAGCACUACCUGAGUGCAACAAUAAAGGAGCGCUUGGAAGAGCUGCAGAGCAUGCUGGGCUGGGUGCUGGUGCGGUGGCGAGCACAGAGGCAUCAGCAGCAGGAUCUGGGGAGCAGGCAGGAAGACAAGAGGGAGGUGGAGAACCUCUCAAGCACAUCCCCUACUGGUCAAGAGCAGCAUGCCUCACAUGUUCCACCCCACCUGGAAAGCAUCCACAGCCCAGUGAAGUUCAUGCCCUCCUCCCUCCUUGAACCUGUGCAAAGAUUAGAGCCAAAGCUUCCAGAGAAAACAGCCAUCUCCCCACCCACAUCACCCCUCUCAGAUACCCCAUCAGGAGUGGAGCAGAGCUGGGGGGAGCCCAGCAGCAAAACACCCCGUGAUGCGGAAUCCCAGGAGGCUGCCACCUGGGAUCCUGCUGAGACCUCCACGCUGCUGCUGCCACCACGGGGCCCCUGUGGUCUCGGGGGGACGGUCAGCCUCAUCCUCAGCAUUGGCAAGAAGGGCGAGAAGAAGAAGGCACAGUUGCUGGCCAGCAGCGAGCGGCCAGGGGAGGACGCGCUGCCAACGGUGCAGGUGGAGGCCAGGAAAACCUACACCGCAAAGUGGCUUCCCGCUGUUGUCCGCCGCCCUCCAGCAUCCAGCGGUGGGAUGCCGGCUGUCUCCCACACCCUGCCCAAGGCUGGGGCUGGCUGUCUCUUCAGCAGCCUGCAGCGGUGGGAGCAGGCCAGGGCAGAGCAGGCCCAGCUGCUGACUCUCCGGGGCAUCAUGGGUGACAGCUCCCUGCGGCCCAUGCCUGAGAAAUGCCAUGGCCCCAGCAACACCUGGCCUCACAAGUGUGGUUGGAGGAAGGGGGGGUCAGGGGCAGCUGCUGCUGGACCUCAGCUUGGGGAGCUGCUCCUCUACGUCAGGAACCCGCUGGUGCAGGACAUCGAUGCCGAGUGCGGGGCAGCCCCUCAGAAUCCCUGCCUCCCUAACCCAAAAAUCACAUGCCCCCGUGUUUCCCUGGGCUCUGUGCUCAGCCUGGAGCUGCCACGGGAUGCAGUGGUCCUGGGGUGCCACCGAGGGGCUGCGGCACACCAGCAGGAGGCAGAGGGGCAGGAGCAGAGGCAGGAUGAAGGGGUGGGGCCUUGGAAGCCCACAGGCACACAUGGAGUUGGAUGGCAGGAAGAUGGGCACAGUUCCCAGGGGCCCAGCAAGAGGCUGGUGAUACCGCCCAAGAGUGAGCAAGAAACGUGGUUCAAGGAGGUGAGCUUCAACCCCAGUUACAGCCAACAAAGAGCACACUGUGCUGGGAAGGAGCACUGGAACCUGCAGCACCCCAGCAGCACCAGUAAAGACUUUCUGGACUUGAGGCCGAGCCAGCCAUCCCAUGUCAGUAUGGGGGAUGAGCUGGCCACCUGCUUUGGCCAGGACGACAGCCCCACUGCCACUGGCAGGGCCAGGCAUCUCAGAGCUGCUUGGCUAGAGCUUGGAUCAUCCCCUGCCAGCACCCCAGGCAGGGCUGGAGCCAUCCCCAGCCCUGCCUGCACACAGCAGCCAGCCAGCAGCAACCAGCCCAGAGGGUCCCCAGCUUCCCCUGCCACCCCCACCCAGCUCUCUGUCUUUGAGUGGGCACUGGGGUCUCCACAUCCCCAGAGCCCUGCACAGGUAACUAAGGAAGUUUGCCACCCUGCCCACAGGCAGUUUGAGGAAGAGGAGGAGGAGCUGCAGGCCAUCUGGGAUGGAGCACACAAACAACAGGUACAGAGCUCACCAGGAGACAGCUGUGCCAGCCACCAGAUGGGCAGCAGGGCAGGCAGCUUGCCCAGCCCCAGUGCCACUACUGGAGGACCCCUCAUCCUGUCAUCAGCCAAUAAUGUGCUAGUAGCCAAAUUUACCCUUCCCACCACUGGCCAGCUGCUCCACAGCCCGUUGGGAGAGAAGAGCCCUGGGGUGGUGCACAGUGGCAGUGGCAGUCCCAAUGGGCUCAGGGUUUCCCCCUACUUGGAGAAGCUGGUGUCUGCAGCCCCCUUGGAUGCCUCUAGUGCCUGGGAUCAGCGGAGGUAUCAGCAAGAGGAGAGAGAGAGCAGCAAGGUCCUGCCUGCUAAAAUGGAAUUUCAGAUGAUGGAGGGAACACUGGAAAGGAAGCACGUAUUGCAGACAGGAGGGAGAAAGGUACAGACAUGGCUGUGGGGCUCCUUUGGGAUAGGGUUGCUGGGACAUGACGGGGUAGAGGGAAGCCAGGGAUGUUCCUGGAACUACCACAGCAAUGCUGCUGGCCAUUUUGGAAGGGCAGAGUCUCAGAGGGGCUGGGCCACAUUUGAGUGGCAUGAGACCAUCUGUCUUCUUCCAAAGCUGUUGGCAUCACAGCUGUGCCCUGCUUGUGUCCCGCAGGCCAGCUGCCGGGCCUGGGGCCUCUUUCACGCUGUGCUGAUGAGGCAGACACUGUGCUUCUACCAGGACCGCAGGGACAGCCUCAAGAGCUCCAUGGUGGCCCUUACCCUGAACCUCUCCGGAGCAGUCUGUACCCCAGAUGCUGAAUACACCAAGAAGACCAACUGCUUCAGGCUUCAGCUGCAGGAUGGCUCUGAAUACCUUCUGAGGGCCCCCACACAGCCCCUCAUGAACGAAUGGGUCUCAAAGCUGCAGCAAAACUCAGGUUUCCCCGAAGUGGAUUACUUCCAGGCAGCAGCACAGCGUGUUGAGAGCACUGGUAGUACUGGCACUUUCAGCAAGGUCUCCAGCCCUGGGACCUCCCACCUCCAGGGACAUCAUCAGGUCACGACCACCAAGAGCCAGGAGAUUGUGGUGCUACCCUGCGCAAGCCCACUACUGCAGCGGCCUCUGGGCAGCCAGGAUGGCCCAGUUGGUGGGACUGUGACAGCAGCAGCUUCAGAGAAUGCUCAGGGGACUGGGCACAAGGAGCAGCAGUGGUCAUCCAGGGCAUCCCCCGGGCUGUGGGACAACAUCUGCCCAGAGGAUGACUAUGGACUGGUGGCCAACAAGAGGAGGUCCUAUUCCUUCACCUCAGCCACCUACCAGAAGAUCACCCCGCUGGCCGUGCCCAAGGAGCCAGUGGAAGCCGGGAGCAGUUACUCCGUCACACUGUACAUAGGGGAGCAGGUGUCAGCCAUGCCCCGGGCACGCUGUCACUCCUUCGUGGCCCAAACAGGGAGCCCCCGGGACACACGAGGGGAGAAGACCACUAGCCCCUCUCGCACCAAGAACAAAUCUGUCUUCAAGAAGUUCUUUGGGAAAAAAGAGUGAGCCCCAGACAAAGGGAGAAAAUGCCCUAACCUGCCUCUUAUCCUCCUCUUGGGCCAUUCUGGCUUGAUAUCUACUCCCAGCACCAGUUCAUGGCUUACUGCCUCCGCAGGGGAAAGAGGCUGUGCCAAGUGCCUCUGCUUCAGCCAGCCCCAGGUCUGCCCUGUGCCCCAGGCACUGCAGCCCCCAGGCUCAGCCUGGUGCUGAGCACCCCUCCUGCCCAGUGCUCUCCCUGGGUGCUGCUGGCUCCCCAAGCAUCCUAAUGACACACAGCACAAGCAGAGGGCGUGGAUGAUGGUUCUUAUUAAAAUAUAAAUAGACACUUAGUGUGGGAGCUAUUUUGUCCAGCAGCAUCCAUCAGCACAGAAGGAAAGGAGCUCUCUGCAAGGUGGUCCUUGCUAAGGAGUAAGGGGAGCUUCAGAUGAGGAGGGCCCUGCAGUGAGGUUCAGUCCUGCUUGCGGGGGGAAGCUUGAGCUGUUUAGUGCCUUUCAAGGAUGCUUCACAAGGAUGCUUUGUCCCUUGCUUCCUCUCUGCCUGCACUCAGCCCAGCUAAUCCCACAGGCUAUCUGGGCCCCUUUUUCCCUGCCCUGGGAGCUUAG